AACGUAGGUCCCGAGCGUUAUCCGGAUUUACUGGGCGUAAAGGGCGUUCAGGCGGUGGGCUAAGUCAGGCAUGAAAUCUCACGGCUCAACCGAGAGAGGCUGUCUGAGACUGGCACACUUGAGGGCAGUCGAGGGUGGUGGAAUUCCGGGUGUAGUGGUGAAAUGCGUAGAGAUCCGGAGGAACACCAGUGGCGAAAGCGGCCACCUGGGCUGUACCUGACGCUGAGGUGCGAAAGCGUGGGGAGCAAACAGG
rnacentral:rRNA from 1 species